rnacentral:rRNA from 1 species
UUGUGAACCCUACCCCCUGCCGCGUUGUCUCGGCGGGAGGUCUGGGGCGGGCCCGUCCCGCCCCCGGCCCCCGCCGGCGGCGCCGAACUCUGCAUCUGCGAAGCGUACUGCACUGUCUGAUUCAGAUUUUUAAAACAAGUCAAAACUUUCAACAACGGAUCUCUUGGUUCUGGCAUCGAUGAAGAACGCAGCGAAAUGCGAUAAGUAAUGUGAAUUGCAGAAUUCAGUGAAUCAUCGAAUCUUUGAACGCACAUUGCGCCCGGCAGCAAUCUGCCGGGCAUGCCUGUCCGAGCGUCAUUUCUCCCCUCGAGCGCGGUCGUCCCUCCGGGGCCGGCCGCCGCCCGGUGUUGGGGCCCUGCGGGCGCGAGCCCGCAGCCCCCUAAAUGAAGUGGCGGCCCCGCCGCGGCGCCCCCUGCGUAGUAGUUCUCUCUCGCAUCGGGCCCCGGCGAAGGCCAGCCGUCGAACCCAACUUUCUAUGGUUUGACCUCGGAUCAGGUAGGGAUACCCGCUGAACUUAAGCAUAUCAAUAAGCGGAGGAAAAGAAACCAACAGGGAUUGCCCCAGUAACGGCGAGUGAAGCGGCAACAGCUCAAAUUUGAAAUCUGGUCCCCUUGGGGGCCCGAGUUGUAAUUUGAAGAGGAUGCUUCUGGCGAGGCGCCGUCCGAGUUCCCUGGAACGGGACGCCAAAGAGGGUGAGAGCCCCGUACGG